CACAACCCAACAAACCACACCAUCUCCCUUGGAUCUACCGAAAUGACCCGAAUGUGGAGCUCCUAAAUUUACGUUUCUUAAAAAGUGGCAAAACGUUUUUUCUGUAUAUAUACAAACAACUCAAAAGUUAUUAAGCACCAAAAAGAGCUACAUAACGUCAUUGUGGGACCACCGAUUUUCAUAAAAACACCAUGAAAACAAAACAGCCUGCAUUGAUCCCCGAAAUGCCCUUGUGGGAGCAAAAUACUUGUGUGAAAAAAAAAGAAAAAGAAAAGCGACGCAUGCGCGCUUGGUGACGUACUUCGUCUGUGUCGUCUUUGUCUCCCGUCUUUGUGAACUUUGCAGCGCUGGCUUCAUGAUCCGUUGUGCAGCCGCGGUUUUUCGUUGGGUGUGUGUGCUCUGUGGAUUCGGGCGGCAGUGAAGUCAUCGUCAAGAUUGCAGGAUUUUUGUGGGUUGUCAUCGCUACAAAAGGUAUUCAAAAGCAGAGCAAGAAGAGAAGCCCUGCAACCAAGGUUCUUCUACUUGGGCUAGAUUGCAGAAGAUGAGCUCAAAAUUAAUCGUUUCUGUAUUUACAUAGUUAUUUCAUUAAAAUAUAUUUCGCAAUGAG
rnacentral:lncRNA from 1 species